rnacentral:lncRNA from 1 species
GGUAUGAUUUACUUUAUUUUGUUUGAAUUUAGACUAACUUUUUCUUUUUAUUCGUAGAUCUCCUCUCAAAUCUAAUGUAUUAUCCUUCUCUGAUUGAUUGAAUCGAAACAAAGCUGUUGACCGUUAAAAGCUAGCGGAGAGUCACCAACCAGAUUCGACCAAUAUCAAAUAUCGGUUUUAUACACCGAACCCAUUUUGACCUGCCCCUACUUCAUACCAUGUUCCAUGGUAGCAGAAGAAACAUGACCCAUUGCAACAGGUCCUGGAACAAAAUAGGUCAGUCGUUACAUUCACCAAAGGAGGUCUGAGUCGAAAAGGUCUGCAGGGAUAAACAUAAGCAGCCUCAGAUUUGGCAGGAUGUUAGUCAUGUCAAGGGUUUUGUGCUUAAAGACACCCCCUCGCAUAUCGUGAAUGAUCUUCCGUUAAAGCUCCAAGGUUUUGUCCUCAAAAUCAGUGAAAGGCAAAUAUAAAUAACAAAGAGUUUCCUUGGUUUUGGCCGUGGCUAGCUGAAGAGCAAAAGAAAUAGAAAUGAUGAUUGCCAUUUGCACAAAACUAAAAAAUGUAAGUCACAGCCAUGUUACUCUUUCAUUGCCAUUUGUAAACUCAUUUUUUCUUUGAUUGCGAAAGCGGCUGGUGUACACUUCCAUGGAGUGGUUCUCAUGUAAAUAUUCCCACUUCAUAGUUUUUGAUUUAGUUUUUAAUAUUUUUAUACACGUAUCCUUUAUCCUUUAAUAAUGAC